GACAGAGGUGCCGAGCGUUAGGCGGAAUCACUGGGCUUAAAGCGUGUGUAGGCGGGCGAUCAAGCACCUUGUGAAAUCCCACGGCUCAACCGUGGAACCGCUGGGUAUACUGGUUGUCUUGAGCCGGCUAGGGGCGAGCGGAACAGACGGUGGAGCGGUGAAAUGCGUAGAUAUCGUCUGGAACGCCGAAGGUGAAAACAGCUCGCUGGGGCCGCGCUGACGCUGAGACACGAAAGCCAGGGGAGCGAACGGG
rnacentral:rRNA from 1 species